AAUAUGAUGCCUGACAAAAGGUUUGUUUUGAUAGGACAAGUAAUGUAGGUUGACCUACUCAUAUUAC
rnacentral:tRNA from 1 species